AUUGAACGCUGGCGGUAGGCCUAACACAUGCAAGUCGAACGAGUGGCGGACGGGUGAGUAAUGUAUGGGAAACUGCCUGAUGGAGGGGGAUAACUACUGGAAACGGUAGCUAAUACCGCAUACCAUCAGCAGUGCCCAGAUGGGUUUAGCUUGUUGGUGGGGUAACGGCUCACCAAGGCGACGUUCCCUAGCUGGUCUGAGAGGAGGAACAGCCACACUGGAAGUGGGAUUCGAUCCGGAUUCCUACGGGAGGCAGCAGUGGGGUAUAUUGCACAAUGGGAACAAGCCUGAUGCAGCCAUGCCGAGUGUAUGAAGAAGACCUUAGGGUUGUAAAGUACCUUCAGCGGUGAGGCGUUACCAGAAGAAGAAGCCCCGGCUAACUCCGUGCCAGCCGCCGCGGUAAUAC
rnacentral:rRNA from 1 species